AGCUAGGUGAAUGUUCUUCCAUCUUUCGAACAUGGCAGGAAAAUGUUCUCUCUGCCUUUGCGCUGAUCGUAUUAGGAGCUCAAAAACACCAGCAAAGGCUAUCCUGGAAAGAGGAUUGAAAGUGAAAGUUCAACUUCUCUCAAUCCCGUCAUUCACAUGUUUAGGAUACAGCAAAGCUAAGGCAUCGCACCCCUCCACUUCAAUUGUGUCUUCCCUCAAAAUGCUUCCCUCACUGAGCUCAAGAAAUGCCCGAAACAAGGACGUGCUGUGGAGGACGGUCACUGCGUGUGAGACGCCAGGACUGCAGGGGGCACAACGGUCAGGGUUACACCAGUCUCAUCAGAGGUCGUGGUGGGGGAGGGUCGGAUUUGCUCCAAAGACAACCUGGUUGCUUUUAUGUAUUUUCUGGAGAAAAAUCAAGAAAAUGAAGGUGGCGAGGGUGAAGAAUGAAGGAGCCACUGCUAGGAAAGGAAAACAUUUUAUUCCUCGCUCUGCAAAGAGUAUAUCACUGAGAGAAAACAAAUACCUAACCCUUUCCAGGUAUUAAAUAGGAAAUCUGUACUGUACUUUCUAAAGAUCAAAAAGCAAAACACAACUAUGAAAUAUCUUUGUACUUUCCUGGGAAUGUAUCUGAUAAGUGCAUGGAGAGAACAAAAAAAAAAAAAAAAAAAAAAAAAGAAAAAAAAAAAAGGGGGAAUAAAAAAAAAAAAAAAAAAAAAAAAAAAAAAAAAGGAUAAAAGAAAAGUGGGGAAGAAAAUAGAGGGAAAGGGAGAGAGAUGGAGAGAGGGAGACACGGAGAGAGGCUGUAAAUAUGAAUACUAGGAAAGCCUGAUCAGAACGUAUCAGAAAUAGCUUUUUUACAAAAAAAACAUCAUCUUACUACAUAGUUUCGGCUGGUCGUGAACUCACUAUGUACUCCAGGCUGGCCUCAGACUCCUCACAGAGAUCCUCCUGCUUCAGCCUUUUCUAUUUAUUUAUUUAUUUAUGGAGAGACAGGGUCAUGCUCUGUAGCCCAAGAUGGCCUUGAACUUGC
rnacentral:lncRNA from 1 species